AUUGAACGCUGGCGGCAUGCCUUACACAUGCAAGUCGAACGGUAACAGGUCUUCGGAUGCUGACGAGUGGCGAACGGGUGAGUAAUGCAUCGGAACGUGCCCAGUAGUGGGGGAUAGCCCGGCGAAAGCCGGAUUAAUACCGCAUACGACCUGAGGGUGAAAGGGGGGGAUCGCAAGACCUCUCGCUAUUGGAGCGGCCGAUGUCAGAUUAGCUAGUUGGUGGGGUAAAGGCCUACCAAGGGAACGAUCUGUAGUUGGUCUGAGAGGACGACCAGCCAGACUGGGACUGAGACACGGCCCAGACUCCUACGGGAGGCAGCAGUGGGGAAUUUUGGACAAUGGGCGCAAGCCUGAUCCAGCAAUGCCGCGUGCAGGAAGAAGGCCUUCGGGUUGUAAACUGCUUUUGUCAGGGAAGAAAUCUUCUGGGUUAAUACCUCGGGAGGAUGACGGCACCUGAAGAAUAAGCACCGGCUAACUACGUGCCAGCCGCCGCCGUAACAC
rnacentral:rRNA from 1 species